AGUCAUAUGCUUGUNUCAAAGAUUAAGCCAUGCAUGUNUCAGUACAAGCCGAAUUAAGGUGAAACCGCGAAAGGCUCAUUAAAUCAGUUAUGGUUCCUUAGAUCGUACCCACACUUACUCGGAUAACUGUGGUAAUUNUAGAGNUAAUACGUGCAAACAGAGCUCCGACCGGAGACGGGAGGAGUGCUUUUAUUAGAUCAAAACCAAUCGGCGGCGGGCGCGUCCGCGCGUCCGUUCGCCGCUCGACCUGGUGACUCUGAAUAACUUUACGCUGAUCGCACGGUCUCGCACCGGCGACGCAUCUUUCAAAUGUCUGCCUUAUCAACUGUCGAUGGUAGGUUCUGCKCCUACCAUGGUCGUAACGGGUAACGGGGAAUCAGGGUUCGAUUCCGGAGAGGGAGCCUGANAAACNGCUACCACAUCCNAGGAAGGCANCNNGCGCGCAAAUUACCCACUCCCGGCACGGGGAGGUAGUGACNAAAAAUAACGANNCGGGACUCAUCCGAGGCCCCGNAAUCGGAAUGNNUACACUUUAAANCCUUUAACNAGGAUCAAUUGGAGGGCAAGUCUGGUGCCNGCNNCCNCNGUAACUCCAGCUCCAAUAGCNUAUA
rnacentral:rRNA from 1 species